ensembl:ncRNA lncRNA:CR44930 long non-coding RNA:CR44930
CAAACCCUAAAUAACAGAUCUUUCAAGAUCUUCUUCCUUAAAGCUGCCAUCUGAGUCCGCAAGGUCCCACCUUGACACCAAAAACAGCAUGUAACCUCCAUUCUGAGCUGGUAUUCCAACGGUUAACGCUGCCGAAGUCAUUUGCCAAAAAGUUAACCGAGCCCGCUCAAAGUGCCACAGCGUUUAACUCUUCAAUCAUGGUUAAAAAAUGGCAGUCAGUUGUUCACCUCUUGACGUAAACACUCACAUGGUCAAAAUGCGGAGUGGGUUGUGUGGCGAAAAGUGAACCCGAAUGUAAGUUGUUCAUUGUAAUUGAGAAAAAUGCGAGGCAUUUGUAAGGCGGUCCAACGAGCUGGGUCUGCCACUGGUACAUGAACUAUUCGGGAGCUUGUGCGGGGAUCCAGUCCAGAGUGCCCAAAGGACUCCAUUAUGGCCGGAGCACAUUAGUUUAACUAAAUCCCCAACCCGGCUCAUCGCUCACUAAAAUCAACACUUGCUAAUGACUUAAUUGUUUCCAUUAGAAACCCGUUGCUGGAAUACAUUUGGCAAAUUUUUCAUCCUCGCUCCUGGCUCCUUUUUUCACAUGUCCUGCUGGCUUCCCUUCCUGCGGACACCCCUCGAAAUGAAUCCUGGCUAAAUGUCUGUCUUUAUUGUAAUUGGUAUUGUUGCUGCUACUCGCACGCAUUCGAGCCUGAAGUCCAGGGACAACACGUGCGUCCUCGUCUGAAACUCCCAGCCCCGCAUCCGACCUCCCAUUCCGUCGUCCUUUGGCCAGGACAUCAUUUCAUUGUCUGCCGGGGCCGGAGGUUGAGGCCUCUGCGGCAGGAGCAGAGCAACAUGGACGUCGACGUGACUUUUAUUGAUUUUCGGACCAAAACCUCCCCUGAGAGAGAGUCGGCAAAAGUCGAUUGGAACGCCAGACGUGAGACUCUGGCCAGUUUAGGGGUGGAAAUCGGGUUUUUCCUUGCCGCCACCCUGCCGCAGAAAAUGGCAACAGUAAGGCCUGGCUAAGGAGCCCGACAAAGGCUUCAAAGAGAGCCCACUUCAGUUCCACCUCCACCAGAGAAUUCCAGCCUGAUGGAGGCGGAUGUGAAGCCAGAGUUAACGCCUGCGCAGUUCCGUCAAAUGGUUACCUUAGGACCAGUGAUGACAUCCUAGAAGCUUUUCGGCAUCCUCUGACCUUAAAAUACUAUAAAGAUAUUGAUAAAAUAUAAUGUUAUAAGCG